GUGGGGAAUAUUGGACAAUGGGGGCAACCCUGAUCCAGCCAUGCCGCGUGAGUGACGAAGGCCUUAGGGUUGUAAAACUCUUUUGGCGGGGACGAUAAUGACGGUACCCGCAGAAUAAGCUCCGGCUAACUUCGUGCCAGCAGCCGCGGUAAUACGAAGGGAGCUAGCGUUGUUCGGAAUUACUGGGCGUAAAGCGCACGUAGGCGGAUAUGUAAGUCAGGGGUGAAAUCCCGGGGCUCAACCUCGGAACUGCCUUUGAUACUGCAUGUCUUGAGUCCGGAAGAGGUGAGUGGAACUCCUAGUGUAGAGGUGAAAUUCAUAGAUAUUAGGAAGAACACCAGUGGCGAAGGCGGCUCACUGGUCCGGUACUGACGCUGAGGUGCGAAAGCGUGGGGAGCAAACAGG
rnacentral:rRNA from 1 species